GUGUCAGCAGCCGCGGUAAUACGUAGGGCGCAAGCGUUGUCCGGAUUUAUUGGGCGUAAAGAGUUCGUAGGCGGUCUGUCGCGUCGGAAGUGAAAACCCGGAGCUCAACUCCGGGCCUGCUUUCGAUACGGGCAGACUUGAGUGUUGCAGGGGAGACUGGAAUUCCUGGUGUAGCGGUGGAAUGCGCAGAUAUCAGGAGGAACACCGGUGGCGAAGGCGGGUCUCUGGGCAACAACUGACGCUGAGGAACGAAAGCGUGGGGAGCGAACAGGAUUAGAAACCCUAGUAGUCC
rnacentral:rRNA from 1 species